rnacentral:rRNA from 1 species
UGGAAGUAAAAAAGUCGUAACAAGGUUUCCGUAGGUGAACCUGCGGAAGGAUCAUUACCGAGUGAGGGCCCUCUGGGUCCAACCUCCCACCCGUGUUUAUUUUACCUUGUUGCUUCGGCGGGCCCGCCUUAACUGGCCGCCGGGGGGCUUACGCCCCCGGGCCCGCGCCCGCCGAAGACACCCUCGAACUCUGUCUGAAGAUUGUAGUCUGAGUGAAAAUAUAAAUUAUUUAAAACUUUCAACAACGGAUCUCUUGGUUCCGGCAUCGAUGAAGAACGCAGCGAAAUGCGAUACGUAAUGUGAAUUGCAAAUUCAGUGAAUCAUCGAGUCUUUGAACGCACAUUGCGCCCCCUGGUAUUCCGGGGGGCAUGCCUGUCCGAGCGUCAUUUCUGCCCUCAAGCACGGCUUGUGUGUUGGGCCCCGUCCUCCGAUCCCGGGGGACGGGCCCGAAAGGCAGCGGCGGCACCGCGUCCGGUCCUCGAGCGUAUGGGGCUUUGUCACCCGCUCUGUAGGCCCGGCCGGCGCUUGCCGAUCAACCCAAAUUUUUAUCCAGGUUGACCUCGGAUCAGGUAGGGAUACCCGCUGAACUUAAGCAUAUCAAUAAGGCGGGAGGA